UAAAUUGUGCCAUGAGAAAAGAAAUAUAAAUAAAUUGUGCAAUGAGAAACAAAAUACAACUCAGUAGUACUAUUAGAUCCAUGAAAACUUAUGUUAGGCGCAAAUAUAAAGAGGCAGGGGCUGUUUAGUAAUUUUAGGGUAGGAGCAGUUUAGUAAUUUUAGGGUAGGAGCAGUUUAGUAAUUUUAUUAAUUAAGGUUCAGCUAUAAAUAAGAGAUUAUGGAGUCAUUUAGGGUUUAUGUUGAGUUUUGUUUGGUAUUAUGAACCAUUAGGAGUUUUGGGAGAGAUUGACCUACCUCUCGAAUUGUAGGUCAGGAUUGUUUGUUUUCUUUUGAUUUAAUCAAUAAAAGUCAGCCUUAAUUUAGC
rnacentral:lncRNA from 1 species